GCUCAGGACGAACGCUGGCGGCGUGCCUAAUACAUGCAAGUCGAGCGGACCGAAGGGAGCUUGCUCCUUUAGGUUAGCGGCGGACGGGUGAGUAACACGUGGGCAACCUGCCCUGCAGACUGGGAUAACUUCGGGAAACCGGAGCUAAUACCGGAUAACACCGAAAACCGCAUGGUUUUCGGUUGAAAGGCGGCUUUUAGCUGUCACUGCAGGAUGGGCCCGCGGCGCAUUAGCUAGUUGGUGAGGUAACGGCUCACCAAGGCGACGAUGCGUAGCCGACCUGAGAGGGUGACCGGCCACACUGGGACUGAGACACGGCCCAGACUCCUACGGGAGGCAGCAGUA
rnacentral:rRNA from 1 species